rnacentral:rRNA from 1 species
CCCUGAUGCAGCAACGCCGCGUGAGUGAAGAAGGCAUUCGUGUCGUAAAACUCUGUAGUAGGGGAAGAAAGAACUGACAGUACCCUAAAAGAAAGCCCCGGCUAACUACGUGCCAGCAGCCGCGGUAAUACGUAGGGGGCAAGCGUUAUCCGGAAUAACUGGGCGUAAAGGGUGCGCAGGUGGCUUAACAAGUUAGUGGUGAAAGGCAUAGGCUCAACCAAUGUAAGCCAUUAAAACUGUUUAACUUGAGUGCAGGAGAGGAAAGUGGAAUUCCUAGUGUAGCGGUGAAAUGCGUAGAUAUUAGGAGGAAUACCAGUGGCGAAGGCGACUUUCUGGACUGCAACUGACACUGAGGCACGAAAGCGUGGGGAGCAAACAGGAUUAGAUACCCUGGUAGUCCACGCCGUAAACGAUGAGUACUAGGUGUCGGGUGAAGAACUCGGUGCCGAAGUUAACACAUUAAGUACUCCGCCUGGGGAGUACGCUCGCAAGAGUAAAACUCAAAGGAAUUGACGGGGACCCGCACAAGCAGCGGAGCAUGUGGUUUAAUUCGAAGCAACGCGAAGAACCUUACCUAAACUUGACAUACCAAUGACAGCCUUUUAAUCGAGGACUUUUACCUUCGGGUAGACAAUGGAUACAGGUGGUGCAUGGUUGUCGUCGU